UAAACAGUUUCUAAAAGUCUCGUAUCUUUGGUUUUAACAAACCUCCUUCCCAAGUACCUACGCAAAUAUAUUAAAAUACUCUGCUACAACCAUCGACUAGCGUCGAAAUAAAAAAAUCAACAGAGACAGUUUCGUCAUAUUUUUCCCACGUGAUCCUCAUAAUAAUCUUCUAAAUCUUACAUUCUAAAUUUUCUCUCGUUUUAUUACAUAGCCUAAGAAUUAAUAGUAAUUCUAAAUGUAGCUACAACUUCUAUAAACCGUUCCAGUCCCACGACGCUACUUCAAAGCCUGUUCUUCAUUAACGGUCGCACGAAAUAGCCCGAACUAUUCACUGGUAGCUCGUAAUAGCAGCGGAACGUUGGCCACCGCAAAUAAUAUCCGCGCACGGAUUCGGUAGGCCGCGAGAUUCCAUCGCGGAAGGUGAAUGUUAGCUCGCGUUGGCCGCCAUUUAUCUCAUUCAGCCACGCAUGCCUGCCAGUCUCCAUUACGUAGAGGGGUUCUAUCGUCUUUGGUGGAACGAUUCACGUCUUCAUUUUUCACACAAUUCGAUUGCGAAGGCAACGAACACGAGACGACGAAGAAAAUACGAAUUUCAUGACUAUAAAUCCUUUCGGCUAAACGAGUUCCUUUCUAUUGACUUGUUCGAAAGCUCGUAGCGAAAUGGAAAAACAAUUUGAAAUCCUAACCCCAACCUAACCUCAACCUAACCUCAAUCUACCCAUAGUGUUUCAGAAAACUUAGUGCAAGCUUCGGUAGCUUGUUUCAAAAAAGACGAAAAAUCCUAACAAACGUGGGUGCAAGUAUCGAUUAGCUUUCGAGGUAUAAGACGCGCAGCUAAGGAAAACACCAAAUGGUGGAUAAAUAAUUUGUUGUCUUUCUCGAGCGAUUUUUCCAAGGUUCCAAAUUACUUUGUUUCUUAUGAUUAACACAAAUUUUCGCAAGACUAAAAUAUAUGUAUAUUUGGCACAUGAGACAGACAAAAUCGAAGAUCCAUUUUUGCUUAUGUUCUUCAUAAGAGCUUAACGUCGUCUUAUCGAAAAGGAUGAUAAAUACAACAACAAACAAUGCUC